AUAAGAAAAAGAAGAAGAAAAUUCAGUACAAAAAUGCAUAAAUGAAUUUGGUGGCCCCUUGAGAUAUGCUUGCAAAAAAUGUGCGAACACAAGAAAUAAUUUCUUAGAAAAAUUGAAAAUCUAUUGAUAAGCAAAUGGAAAUUAAUCGUAACAAAAAAUGCAUUAAGGAUCUGUAACUGUGUAUGUAUUUGUUGCUGUUGUUUUUCCAUUUUUUUUUUUUUUUUUUUUUUUUUUUUUUGACAUUGUUAGCACUGUUGUCGUUUAAUGUCGGUCGGUUUUCUGGUUAACUAACCAUACGUAACGUUUGCUGUACGAAAAAAUUUAGUUAAACGCUAGCCAGUGAGUCGGUCGGUCGGUUAGUUGAGCGGUGAAACCUCAUUUUACUUUCGUUUUCAUAUUUGAUUCGGUCUUGUAUAACGAGUGACGGUUUGGCUAAUGCCACAUUUUCAUUUCGUAUGGAUUAUGAAGCACAAUCAACAAUAGAAACGUGAAUUUCAUCUAAGGAUUUAAGUAUAUAUACCUAGAGGAAAUCCAUGAGAACGGAAAUUUCCAGGGAAUUUUAAUUAAAACAAUGAAAACAGGUAUCUGAAAACAACAAUAACAACAAAAAC